rnacentral:rRNA from 1 species
AAAUGAAUUGACGGGGGCCCGCACAAGCGGUGGAGCAUGUGGUUUAAUUCGAUGCAACGCGAAGAACCUUACCAGGGCUUGACAUCCCUUGACGCCCGAGCGAUCGGGUUUCCCUUCGGGGCAAGGAGACAGGUGGUGCAUGGUUGUCGUCAGCUCGUGUCGUGAGAUGUUGGGUUAAGUCCCGCAACGAGCGCAACCCCUACGCUGUGUUACCAGCACGUAAUGGUGGGGACUCACAGUGGACUGCCGGUGACAAACCGGAGGAAGGUGGGGACGACGUCAAAUCAUCAUGCCCCUUAUGUCCUGGGCUACACACGUGCUACAAUGGUCGGUACAGACGGAAGCGAACCCGUGAGGGGGAGCGGAUCCGAGAAAGCCGGUCACAGUUCGGAUUGCAGGCUGCAACUCGCCUGCAUGAAGUCGGAAUCGCUAGUAAUCGCAGGUCAGCAUACUGCGGUGAAUACGUUCCCGGGCCUUGUACACACCGCCCGU